rnacentral:rRNA from 1 species
UAACGGCUGAACCAGCAACUAGGAAGAAUGAAAUUGUAUUAAAAAAAGUUUAAUACUAUAAUGCUUUUUACAUAUAAAAUUCUAAAUAGAUAAAAGAUAAUGACAAUUUUCUAUUUAUAAGUCUUGACCAAAUUACGUGCCAGCAGUCGCGGUAAUACGUAGAAGACUAGUGUUAGUCAUCUUUAUUAGGUUUAAAGGGUACCUAGACGGUAAAUUAAACCCGCUGAGGGUACUUAUUUACUAGAGUUAUAUAGGUGAAGGGGAGAAUUUUUGGAGUAGAAAUAAAAUUUAAUGAUACCAAAAGGACUGGUAACAGCGCAGGCAACCUUCUAUGUAAUAACUGACGUUGAGGGACGAAGGCUUGGGGAGCGAUAAGGAUUAGAUACCCUAGUAGUCCAAGCAGAGAAUUAUGAAUGCCAUAUGUUAAAAGAAAGUUUAGCAAAUAAGCUAACAAAAAACAAGAGAUUAGCGUAUAAAUGAAAGUGUAAGCAUUCCACCUCAAGAGUAAGAUGGCAACAUUGAAACUGAAAUCAUUAGACCGUUUCUGAAACCAGUAGUGAAGU